UAUAAUUAACAAAACCACAAUAGAAUUCUACAACUUUUUCUAAUGACUUAAUCUUUUUAGCAAUUUUUUCAUAAAUUUCUGGAAGUUCUUUUACUUUUUCAGAUAAUUCCUGUUUAAUUUGUUUUCCAGGAAUACCUAGCUGCUUACAAAGUGAGUUAAAUUCCGACCUAGCUGCAUUUUCUGAUUUUUUAUGAUCUGCCUCUCUUUUUUCGAAGUCCUGGUAAAAAUAUCUUGUAUUUGUUCCAAUUUUUGAAUUUGUUUUUUAGUACUUGGAAUUUCAUAAUUAACAUUUCUUAUAAGUAUCUGAGAAACUUCUGCAAGAUAUAAAUUGUCUUUUUCAUAUAAUCGUAAUAUUUCUUGCCAAUCUUUCAUUCUUUGUGAGCCAUACCUGCCAAAUACAUUUUUUGUAUCAGCUUCAGUUUCUUUCAAUAUUUCUACUAUUUUCAAACAAUGAAAAUAAUUUAUAUGACCCAGAUAGUAAUUUUGCAAUUUCUUCAUGAACAGGCAUAUCUUGUAUUGCAUUGUUAAUUUUUUCUCUGAUAUUUAAAACUUUUACAUGCCAGUCCUUAGAGCAAUGUCUUCUGUUUAUUAACCAUUCUAAUAAUUUUCCAAUAUUAAUAUCAAUAGGAAUAUCCUGUUCCUAAACAAGAUAUAACAUCAAUUAUAAUUUAAAUUGUAUUAAGUAUUACACAUACUGCAAAUAAGAAAGUUAUUAUAUAAAAUUAUGAA
rnacentral:misc_RNA from 1 species